rnacentral:rRNA from 1 species
AGAAUCAACGCUGGCGGCGUGCCUAACACAUGCAAGUCGCACGAGAAAGGGACUUCGGUCCCGAGUACAGUGGCGCACGGGUGAGUAACACGUGAAUAAUCUACCUCCGAGUGGGGAAUAACUGAGAGAAAUCUUAGCUAAUACCGCAUAACACUUACGAGUCAAAGCAGCAAUGCGCUUGGAGAGGAGUUCGCGGCCGAUUAGUUAGUUGGCGGGGUAAUGGCCCACCAAGACGAUGAUCGGUA